rnacentral:misc_RNA from 1 species
GUGAGUCAUCGAAUCUUUGAACGCACAUUGCGCUCCCUGGUAUUCCGGGGAGCAUGCCUGUUCGAGCGUCAUUAUCAACCCUCAAGCCCAGCUUGGUAUUGGGAGUCGCCCCUGCUGUGGGCGUUCCCUAAAGCCGUCGGCCGUGGUAGUUUAACCUCAAGCGUAGUAGAAUCUCCAGCUUUUUAGGUUGCUGCCGCCGUGCCUAGCGUUUAUACACAUUUUCAAAGGUUGACCUCGGAUCAGGUAGGGAUACCCGCUGAACUUAAGCAUAUCAAUAAGCGGAGGA